rnacentral:lncRNA from 1 species
AAUAUUGAAAUGGUUGAAUGUAAUGAAUGGUGGAAUUUGAAAUUGUUAUGAAAAGUAUAUUUAUGGUUUUGUGUGCUGAAAUGAGUUAAAAAAAUAAAAUGAAAUAAAAUUCAAAUAUUUUUAAUAAAGCAAAUAAAAAUUAAAAUGCUUAUUUAUUUGUCUAUAUUUAUUUUCCUUGAAUAUUUUGAUUAAAAAACAAAAAUAAAAUGAAUUAAAACGGGCACGAAAAUGCACAAAAAAUAAAAUAAAUGCAUUAAAAUAAUCCAUGUGAAAUAUAGUUCAGUAAAAUAGACAACGCAAAUCAAACCUU